rnacentral:rRNA from 1 species
CGGGUGCGUAACGCGUAUACAAUCUACCUUUUGCUGAGGAAUAGCCCAGAGAAAUUUGGAUUAAUGCCUCAUAGUAUGCUGACUUCGCAUGGAGAUAACAUUAAAGGUUACGGCAAAAGAUGAGUAUGCGCCCUAUUAGUUAGUUGGUGUGGUAACGGCACACCAAGACAGCGAUAGGUAGGGGCCCUGAGAGGGGGAUCCCCCACACUGGUACUGAGACACGGACCAG